UACGGGGGGGGCAAGCGUUGUUCGGAAUUACUGGGCGUAAAGGGCUCGUAGGCGGCCAACUAAGUCCGACGUGAAAUCCCCAGGCUUAACCUGGGAACUGCGUCGGAUACUGGAUGGCUUGAAUCCGGGAGAGGGAUGCAGAAUUCCAGGUGUAGCGGUGAAAUGCGUAGAUAUCUGGAGGAACACCGGUGGCGAAGGCGGCAUCCUGGACCAAUAUUGACGCUGAGGAGCGAAAGCCAGGGGAGCAAACGGG
rnacentral:rRNA from 1 species